rnacentral:rRNA from 1 species
UACAGAGGGGGCAAGCGUUGUUCGGAAUUACUGGGCGUAAAGGGCGCGUAGGCGGCCUUCUAAGUCGAACGUGAAAUCCCCGGGCUCAACCCGGGAACUGCGUCCGGUACUGGAAGGCUUGAAUCCGGGAGAGGGAUGCGGAAUUCCAGGUGUAGCGGUGAAAUGCGUAGAUAUCUGGAGGAACACCGGUGGCGAAGGCGGCAUCCUGGACCGGCAUUGACGCUGAGGCGCGAAAGCUAGGGUAGCAAACGGG